rfam:Felis catus isolate Cinnamon breed Abyssinian chromosome C1, whole genome shotgun sequence.
GUCUGGGUGGCUCAGUUGGUUGAGCGUCUGACUUCGGCUCAGGUCACGAUCUCCAGGUCUGUGAGUUCGAGCCCCGCGUCGGGCU